CUACUCAGGACAUCAUCCUGCAGUAACAGAAAUCUCACCUUGUGAUAUCACUUUUCAUCCUCUCGAGUCUCGCAUCUCGUAUUCGAUCCACCUCCACCUGGAGCUCCACCUCACUCUGGGCUCCUCCUGACUCCUGAAGCUCCACCUCGCACUAGGCUCUCUGUCAGGUAAUAAUAUCGUCUCAUCUUCUUUUUUUCCUCUAGAACAAUCCUAUCAUCACA
rnacentral:lncRNA from 1 species